rnacentral:rRNA from 1 species
GACGAACGCUGGCGGCGUGCUUAACACAUGCAAGUCGAACGGUGAAGCGCCUUCCUUUUUGGUGGGUGUGGAUGAGUGGCGAACGGGUGAGUAACACGUGAGUAACCUGCCCCCUUCUUCUGGAUAACCGCAUGAAAGUGUGGCUAAUACGGGAUAUUCUGGGUCUGUCGCAUGAUGGGUCUGGGAAAGAUAUUGUUUCGGUGGGGGAUGGGCUCGCGGCCUAUCAGCUUGUUGGUGGGGUGAUGGCCUACCAAGGCGGUGACGGGUAGCCGGCCUGAGAGGAUGGUCAGGGACAUCAGAACUGGGACACGGCACAGACUCGUACGGGAGGCAGCAGAGGGGAAUGGUGGACAGUGGGCUGGACGCUGACCUAGCCAUGCCGCGUGGGGGAAGAAGGGCUUCGCGUCGUGUAGUGCUUUUGUUGGGAAAGAAAAGCAGCAGGUCAAUAUUCCGGUGUGCUGAGGGUACACAAAGAAUAAGAACCGGCUAACUUCGUG